AUUGUUCAUUUGGAGUUGCUUCUUCUUCUUCUUCUUCAUCGAUCUAGGAUGGGUUCCAGGCCGGCAGCCUGGGAUAGCAAGGAUGGACGUCGUUCUUAUUUUUUUUUCGUUUGUUUUCGUCCGUAGUCGGACCCUGCUCUUACUCUUGAUGAUUAUGUACUGUACUUAUGUGACUCUGAUGUAGCUUGUGGCGAGUGUAAGCCAACUCUUUAUAUAUCUCUUCUUUUCAGUACAUGUACUUGUAACGAUAUCCAUUCUUGCGACACGACGAGAUGCGCUUCUAUCUCUGACGAGGCCCUCGUGCCAAAUUGAGGAUAGGGUCGCAUCUUGGGCGUGACAGUUUUACCCCAAAAAACCGUAGUGUUUCCACCCAAAAUUGUGCCGC
rnacentral:lncRNA from 1 species